UGUCUGUACAGGGCUAAUACCCAUGGUAUGAAGUCCUACUACAGAUGGGUUUUAGGUGACGAGCCUGACUAAGAGUGGUUCAGAAUCUUCAAAUGAGUCAGAAAGACCAAGGUCCAGUUGCAACUCACAGAUUGCAAUUAUGACUGGCCUGGAGCUGGGGCUCGCAGAUGAGGAACUGGUCAACUUCAUCCUGACAAAAUGCAAAAUGAUAUGGGAAGCAUCCCUCCUGGGCUCACCACCCCAGCUGAGCUGAUGAGGAGAGGAUGCAUAGUGGUUGGGCAGAAGCCGAAGGUAGGUGCUUUGGCAGCCUGUCAUGGAAGUUGUUCUGUUUUUUUUGGAUCAUGGAACGUAACCUCCCCUCAGUGAACUGCCACCUUGACACCGUAGAGGCUAGUUCAGUUUGUAUCUGAGUCAAGGGAAGUGAGCCAAUACUUUGUGUUUGUGUAACGGGAGGCUCCAGUAGGUGUCGCUGUUCCCACAGCACAGGGUAUAAAAGGAAGUUGAUGUGUGGUUGCUAGGUGCUAGCUUCCUGUUGUGGGACGGGGCGGCUGACGAAGCUGCGUCAGCUGAUGCGAGUCUGAGUUUGGUAAGACUGUUUUUAUUGUCACCUGCAGCAAAUGUUUUAAAAUUAGUGGUUGAUUUUAUUGUGUUUUAUAGCAACAUCACGGCAGCGGUAGAUCUGGACUGACCGAGGGGUUUUAAAGACUGGGCGUGUGGUUUUGCGACGCACCAGUGUCGGAGUACUGUAGCCUGCUGUCCUGAUUUUAAGUUUUGUUUUUGUGUUUUUGUUUGUCCGCUCCACACGAGGCCCUCAGCGUGGUUGAUUAAUCAGGUGUGUGAGCGGACUAAUUUUCUUUUUUGUUAUUUUGUUUGUUUAAGUCACUUCCCUUAGUUCAUACUCCUGAGAUCUGUCUAGUUCGAGUUUUGUCCGUGUCCGACUUAAAGUGUGUUGUGCUUUAUCUCGUGCAUGUCUGAAUUUUAUUGUUGUGUUUCUUUAUGUAUUUUUCUGCACGUUUUUUUUGAAGUGUUAUUCGGCACGGUGACAGACAAUCAGACACAUGUCAAGGAGAGGAGAGCUUGGGAACGUUUUAUGUUUAUUGUAUUAAUAAAACUUUGUAACCUGC